rnacentral:rRNA from 1 species
UGUAAACGAUGUCGAUUUGGAGGUUGUUCCCUUGAGGAGUGGCUUCCGGAGCUAACGCGUUAAAUCGACCGCCUGGGGAGUACGGCCGCAAGGUUAAAACUCAAAUGAAUUGACGGGGGCCCGCACAAGCGGUGGAGCAUGUGGUUUAAUUCGAUGCAACGCGAAGAACCUUACCUACUCUUGACAUCCAGAGAAUUUAGCAGAGAUGCUUUAGUGCCUUCGGGAACUCUGAGACAGGUGCUGCAUGGCUGUCGUCAGCUCGUGUUGUGAAAUGUUGGGUUAAGUCCCGCAACGAGCGCAACCCUUAUCCUUUGUUGCCAGCACAUUAUGGUGGGAACUCAAAGGAGACUGCCGGUGAUAAACCGGAGGAGGGUGGGGAUGACGUCAAGUCAUCAUGGCCCUUACGAGUAGGGCUACACAUGUGCUACAAUGGCGUAUACAAAGAGAAGCGACCUCGCGAGAGCAAGCGGAACUCAUAAAGUACGUCGUAGUCCGGAUUGGAGUCUGCAACUCGACUCCAUGAAGUCGGAAUCGCUAGUAAUCGUAGAUCAGAAUGCUACGGUGAAUACGUUCCCGGGCCUUGUACACACCGCCCGUCACACCAUGGGAGUGGGUUGCAAAAGAAGUAGGUAGCUUAACCUUCGGGAGGGCGCUUACCACUUUGUGAUUCAUGACUGGGGUGAAGUCGUAACAAGGUAACCA